CCUACGGGAGGCAGCAGUGGGGAAUAUUGCACAAUGGGCGAAAGCCUGAUGCAGCAACGCCGCGUGAGCGAUGAAGGCCUUCGGGUCGUAAAGCUCUGUCCUCAAGGAAGAUAAUGACGGUACCUGAGGAGGAAGCCCCGGCUAACUACGUGCCAGCAGCCGCGGUAAUACGUAGGGGGCGAGCGUUAUCCGGAGUUACUGGGCGUAAAGGGUGCGUAGGUGGUUUCUUAAGUCAGAGGUGAAAGGCUACGGCUAAACCGUUGUAAGCCUUUGAAACUGGGGAACUUGAGUGGAGUAGAGGAAGGCGGAAUUCCUGGUGUAGCGGUGAAAUGCGUAGAGAUUGGGAGGAACACCAGUGGCGAAGGCGGCCCACUGGGCUUUAACUGACGCUGAGGCACGAAAGCGUGGGGAGCAAACAGGAUUAGAUACCCCAGUAGUC
rnacentral:rRNA from 1 species